rnacentral:rRNA from 1 species
UCUAUACAUGACUCUGCGCAUAUCAAUAAGCGGAGGAAAAGAAACUAACAAGGAUUCCCUUAGUAACGGCGAGUGAAGCGGGAAGAGCUCAAAUUUGAAAUCUUCAAGGUUUUACCUUGACGAAUUGUAGUUUAAAGAAGUGUUUUCUGUUGGAGUUUUGGUAAAAGUUCUUUGGAAUAGGACAUCAUAGAGGGUGAGAAUCCCGUAUUUGACCAUUAUUUCCAGCUGUGUGAUACACUUUCAAAGAGUCGGAUUGUUUGGGAAUGCAGUCCAAAAUGGGUGGUAAAUUUCAUCUAAAGCUAAAUAUUGGCGAGAGACCGAUAGCGAACAAGUACCGUGAGGGAAAGAUGAAAAGAACUUUGAAAAGAGAGUUAAACAGUACGUGAAAUUGUCAAAAGGGAAGCGUUUGACACCAGUGUUGUUUUCUCGAAAAUCAAUUAAAAAUGAUGGGAUUUUGUGUUGUAUUGACUUUAUCAGCUUUCUGCACUUUUUUCUUAUCUUUUUUAAUGCACUUUUCGUUUAACAAGUCAACAUCAAUUUCUUUUGUUGUAAAAGAGUCAUUGGAAGGUGGCUUUUUCUUCGGAAAAAGUGUUUAUAGCCUUUGGCUUCUGCAAUCGGAGAGAUUGAGGUCUGCAGCGUAGAUCCUUCGGGGUUAGAUACAUUUGUGCUAAGCUAUAGUUCUUUAUAGACAACUUGUUGACUAUAAUCAAUCCUGUAACUUACUCGCUUAUGCUAUUUUACCUACGCUUAGGAUGUUGAAGAUAUGCGCGACACGACUCUAUACAUGACUCUGCGCAUAUCAAUAAGCGGAGGAAAAGGCUGCGGAACUGAACGACCGCUACCUACGCUUAGGAUGUUGAAGAUAUGCGCGACACGACCUCUAUACAUGACUCUGCGCAUAUCAAUAAGCGGAGGAAAAGGAGUAUACCUACGCUUAGGAUGUUGAAGAUAUGCGCGACACG